GGUGCAAAGGGGUCAGAGGGGAAGUGACCCAGGGAGAGAAGGAUGGCAGGGAGGCUGUCGCUAGAGGGUCCCUGAGUUGGGACCCAGAGUAGUGGGUGGGCCUGAGUUCCCCCACUUUUUGCCCCUUAUCUUGGACCUGGCCAUGGGAAGUGGCCAUAACGGACUGCAUCAGACCCCUGAGGGAAGGGGUUAGACUUUGGGGUGUGGUUGGACACUGUGGCAGGGGCGAACCAGGAGACUGCUCUUAAACACACCUCCCUCUUUCUAGCCCCCACCCGGAAGGGGGUGAGCGUGGACUAAGGGGCACUGCCAGAGGGCAGUGUCCUGAAGAGGAUGCCGCUGAGUGGGGAGCAACGUGGGUCCAGACUCCAACGGAGGGUGAGAGACUGAUGGGACACCACCAGCGGAGCAUGCUCCACAUGGACUGAGCUAAUUCCCGGAGUCACCAGCAAGAGGCGCCGUGAUGUUAAAAUGCCAAAGCCCAUCUGACAUUGAGAGUGUGAAGUCUCCUCUACUCAUGGUCAGGAUGAAGGUUUGGGAAGAAUAUUGAUUCUGAAGAAGAAACAUGGAGGUAGCUUCGGACAUAGAGGAUUCCAACUCAUGCCAUGUGGCAGUAAGAAGGAACUGGAGAGGUAUCAGUCUGCACAAUCCAUUAUGUCCUAGGUUCAGGGCAUGAGGAGGGAAACUGCACAGGUGCUCAUGAG